rnacentral:misc_RNA from 1 species
AUUUAACUAUUCAACUAUACGCGCGCGGUCCACCCCGCCGCGUAUGCGUAGUGACGUUUUCCUGCCUUCAGUGGCGGUAAAACGUUCAAGAUAGUCAGACGCGCACAGCAGCCCCCGUGCUGCUGCACGCGAUUGAUGAGUACACCCCAGUGGCUUGGACUUGGCUUCCAUACCGUUUUGUGUGCCCCAUCAGUACCGACCAUCAGUAGUAGUACCC